rnacentral:rRNA from 1 species
GGGUUGUGAGGUUAAGCGACUAAGCGUACACGGUGGAUGCCCUGGCAGUCAGAGGCGAUGAAGGACGUGCUAAUCUGCGAUAAGCGUCGGUAAGGUGAUAUGAACCGUUAUAACCGGCGAUUUCCGAAUGGGGAAACCCAGUGUGUUUCGACACACUAUCAUUAACUGAAUCCAUAGGUUAAUGAGGCGAACCGGGGGAACUGAAACAUCUAAGUACCCCGAGGAAAAGAAAUCAACCGAGAUUCCCCCAGUAGCGGCGAGCGAACGGGGAGCAGCCCAGAGCCUGAAUCAGUGUGUGUGUUAGUGGAAGCGUCUGGAAAGGCGCGCGAUACAGGGUGACAGCCCCGUACACAAAAAUGCACAUGCUGUGAGCUCGAUGAGUAGGGCGGGACACGUGGUAUCCUGUCUGAAUAUGGGGGGACCAUCCUCCAAGGCUAAAUACUCCUGACUGACCGAUAGUGAACCAGUACCGUGAGGGAAAGGCGAAAAGAACCCCGGCGAGGGGAGUGAAAAAGAACCUGAAACCGUGUACGUACAAGCAGUGGGAGCACGCUUAGGCGUGUGACUGCGUACCUUUUGUAUAAUGGGUCAGCGACUUAUAUUCUGUAGCAAGGUUAACCGAAUAGGGGAGCCGAAGGGAAACCGAGUCUUAACUGGGCGUUAAGUUGCAGGGUAUAGACCCGAAACCCGGUGAUCUAGCCAUGGGCAGGUUGAAGGUUGGGUAACACUAACUGGAGGACCGAACCGACUAAUGUUGAAAAAUUAGCGGAUGACUUGUGGCUGGGGGUGAAAGGCCAAUCAAACCGGGAGAUAGCUGGUUCUCCCCGAAAGCUAUUUAGGUAGCGCCUCGUGAAUUCAUCUCCGGGGGUAGAGCACUGUUUCGGCAAGGGGGUCAUCCCGACUUACCAACCCGAUGCAAACUGCGAAUACCGGAGAAUGUUAUCACGGGAGACACACGGCGGGUGCUAACGUCCGUCGUGAAGAGGGAAACAACCCAGACCGCCAGCUAAGGUCCCAAAGUCAUGGUUAAGUGGGAAACGAUGUGGGAAGGCCCAGACAGCCAGGAUGUUGGCUUAGAAGCAGCCAUCAUUUAAAGAAAGCGUAAUAGCUCACUGGUCGAGUCGGCCUGCGCGGAAGAUGUAACGGGGCUAAACCAUGCACCGAAGCUGCGGCAGCGACACUAUGUGUUGUUGGGUAGGGGAGCGUUCUGUAAGCCUGUGAAGGUGUGCUGUGAGGCAUGCUGGAGGUAUCAGAAGUGCGAAUGCUGACAUAAGUAACGAUAAAGCGGGUGAAAAGCCCGCUCGCCGGAAGACCAAGGGUUCCUGUCCAACGUUAAUCGGGGCAGGGUGAGUCGACCCCUAAGGCGAGGCCGAAAGGCGUAGUCGAUGGGAAACAGGUUAAUAUUCCUGUACUUGGUGUUACUGCGAAGGGGGGACGGAGAAGGCUAUGUUGGCCGGGCGACGGUUGUCCCGGUUUAAGCGUGUAGGCUGGUUUUCCAGGCAAAUCCGGAAAAUCAAGGCUGAGGCGUGAUGACGAGGCACUACGGUGCUGAAGCAACAAAUGCCCUGCUUCCAGGAAAAGCCUCUAAGCAUCAGGUAACAUCAAAUCGUACCCCAAACCGACACAGGUGGUCAGGUAGAGAAUACCAAGGCGCUUGAGAGAACUCGGGUGAAGGAACUAGGCAAAAUGGUGCCGUAACUUCGGGAGAAGGCACGCUGAUAUGUAGGUGAAGUCCCUCGCGGAUGGAGCUGAAAUCAGUCGAAGAUACCAGCUGGCUGCAACUGUUUAUUAAAAACACAGCACUGUGCAAACACGAAAGUGGACGUAUACGGUGUGACGCCUGCCCGGUGCCGGAAGGUUAAUUGAUGGGGUCAGCGCAAGCGAAGCUCUUGAUCGAAGCCCCGGUAAACGGCGGCCGUAACUAUAACGGUCCUAAGGUAGCGAAAUUCCUUGUCGGGUAAGUUCCGACCUGCACGAAUGGCGUAAUGAUGGCCAGGCUGUCUCCACCCGAGACUCAGUGAAAUUGAACUCGCUGUGAAGAUGCAGUGUACCCGCGGCAAGACGGAAAGACCCCGUGAACCUUUACUAUAGCUUGACACUGAACAUUGAGCCUUGAUGUGUAGGAUAGGUGGGAGGCUUUGAAGUGUGGACGCCAGUCUGCAUGGAGCCGACCUUGAAAUACCACCCUUUAAUGUUUGAUGUUCUAACGUUGACCCGUAAUCCGGGUUGCGGACAGUGUCUGGUGGGUAGUUUGACUGGGGCGGUCUCCUCCUAAAGAGUAACGGAGGAGCACGAAGGUUGGCUAAUCCUGGUCGGACAUCAGGAGGUUAGUGCAAUGGCAUAAGCCAGCUUGACUGCGAGCGUGACGGCGCGAGCAGGUGCGAAAGCAGGUCAUAGUGAUCCGGUGGUUCUGAAUGGAAGGGCCAUCGCUCAACGGAUAAAAGGUACUCCGGGGAUAACAGGCUGAUACCGCCCAAGAGUUCAUAUCGACGGCGGUGUUUGGCACCUCGAUGUCGGCUCAUCACAUCCUGGGGCUGAAGUAGGUCCCAAGGGUAUGGCUGUUCGCCAUUUAAAGUGGUACGCGAGCUGGGUUUAGAACGUCGUGAGACAGUUCGGUCCCUAUCUGCCGUGGGCGCUGGAGAACUGAGGGGGGCUGCUCCUAGUACGAGAGGACCGGAGUGGACGCAUCACUGGUGUUCGGGUUGUCAUGCCAAUGGCACUGCCCGGUAGCUAAAUGCGGAAGAGAUAAGUGCUGAAAGCAUCUAAGCACGAAACUUGCCCCGAGAUGAGUUCUCCCUGACUCCUUGAGAGUCCUGAAGGAACGUUGAAGACGACGACGUUGAUAGGCCGGGUGUGUAAGCGCAGCGAUGCGUUGAGCUAACCGGUACUAAUGAACCGUGAGGCUUAACCUUACAACGCCGAAGCUGUU